ACAAAAAACUGGCCCAAAGGUGGACAGAAGGCAGUACAGAUGGACACACAAAAGCCAUCGGGCUGCCUCAGAAACUGUGACGAAGCAUUACCCUACAUACAGAAAGGAGCCAAGUGGAGCUGUUCAUGGGUCAUGCAAACAGUUUCAUAAGCGGGCUUUUAGCACUUUUUACAACUAUGUCUCUGAAUACGUCUGCCAAAGUUGUGCUCAAAGAAGCAUGUAGUAGUGCAUUUCAUUGUUCAUUUGGCAUGCUGCAGAAGGUAUGACUCAUACAUCUGCAAGAUAACGCAACACAGUGCAUACACACAAACUAGCCCACAUACACUCUGGUUUUGUGGCUUAGUUGUAAAUUGUUUACUCUGACCUUGCACAACAAUUAAUUACUAAAUGACAUGAAAGCUUUGCCAUCUAUGCAGGUAGCGUUCUAAGUAUAUACUGGCAAUAAAUGUGCAAAGUUCAAAGAGUGCACUGGUCACAAUAUUCUUGUAAACAUAUAGAGAGGGAAGACCAGGGUUGUUGGAAGCUCAUACACGGUGAGGUAAGGACCGCGACUCCAGAAGCUUUCUGUUUUCUUGCCUUUGCACACGAGGUGGCAUAGUGAAAUUGUUCAGGCUGCAGCUAUGUCUUGUCACUCAGCAGUGUUCAACAAGCUCUGUGUCAGAACAUGUUGCAGGGAAAACUUAAGCAACAUCCUCAUUACGUUCUUUACGUUUAGUUGACCAUAUUUUAUUUGUUUUGUCCAUGGAAGUUGCAUCAAAAUUUUUCCUUUAUACUUUACCGAUGACCUCACUCAUAUCUUCAGUGAUUUUCGGUAUACCUUGGGAUAUACGUUCACGGACCGCACACCUGCGCAUGAUCGGAUGAAGGUCUUUUAAAAAGUACACUGGGGUAUUGCAGCACCACUCAUAUUGGCAAAACUGGCAGAAAGAGUUCAGAGGUUUAAAGGCUGCAAAGGGGGGAUGCUGUUAUGGCCACCAGUGCAGCUUGUUCCAAGACUGAGUUUAACUGCUGGACAACAAGGCGUAGCUCCUAUAUAAACAGUGCUUGAAAGUGGCUUAGAGACAGAUAGGAAGAGGGGGGAGGACUUGGAAUAUUGGUUUAUUUGUUGCCGACCAUUAACUUCCAAGAACAACAUGUUCGCGAGGAUGUAUAUUGCUAAAGAACUGAUCACCCUUCACUAACUUGCUGCCAACAUAUGCUGCAACUUCCAUCUGCUUAGGUGGGAACACUUCUAUGCACCUUUAUUAGCUGCAAGUCCAAGUAAACUCUUUACACUCAUUAAUUCACACAUUGUUUGGAACAUCUUUGAAUGUGCAGGCUGGCUCAACAGAAAGAAAUCUGCGAAAUGUGGAAAGGGAGGAUAUAACGUGAACCUAGCACUGGUAAACUUUUGGCCUUGUUGGUGUAACAUUUUCAUGAAGCUCAGCGUAGCACUUCAAAUCACAAGAAUGGGACAAGGUUGCGUAUGUUCGACCUGUCCCAUCUUCUUCAUUUAAGUGCCGCAAUUAGCUUUAGAAACAAGUCAUGUGCCCUUUGUGCCUUUGCUGCAAACUUCAUUCUUGUGUUCUUUGUGUACAGUUCAGUUCAACCGGACUCCUGUUCAAUUUGGUGUUUUGUACACAACAAACAGGAGCUUUAGGGAGCUAUCUAUGAAUGACUGCAUUCAUUCCAAAAAUCAUGCUACUUGUGCAAAACAUAUAGUAUGGUGUAAUCAUUCUAUGAACCCUGUGUUCACUUGCAAAUGAAGGUGUGCCCAUAAACUGAAUUAACUUCGUGUCCAGGCAACAAAACUCUCCGACAAACAUUGCAAAUAACUCACAUUCACAAGCACGCAGAACAUAAAGGAAAUCCUCCAUUGCUAUAUUUUGCAAGCAGGCUGCAAGGCACAGCUGUGGUGUGGCGUAGUAUGUUGUGUGGAAAAAUACAGCAGGCUGUUGUGCAGAACAAUACAGCAGACUGUUGUGUCGAUUGACACAAACAUUUUUGUAUUAGUUGCGAUAACGUAUAGAAUACACACGAACGCCUUGUUCGAAGGAAAUUGUCGUAUUUUGAUCAAGGAAUAAUAUAUGUCGCCUUAUUAGAGUGGCGGGUUCUGUGGUAACUGUGCUGAAGCAUGACUUCCGGGAAGAGGCUACGUCUUAAGAAGCUAGUUGUAUUCUUGCUCACGGAAUUGCUCGGCACCGCUAUAUCUUCGGCAUCCUCUGUGAAGGAGGAUCCUUAUUUUUUACAUUGUACAAAGGAACUGGACUUCCUAUGAAUAACUUUGUAUGUUUACUUUUUACAGCAUGUUCAUACAAGUUGCAAGAAAAUCGUGUUAUUGCAAAGAUUCAAUUAAAGUAUAAAAAAAGCUUCAGAAGAAA
rnacentral:lncRNA from 1 species